rnacentral:rRNA from 1 species
UGGGGAAUAUUGGACAAUGGGCGCAAGCCUGAUCCAGCCAUGCCGCGUGAGUGAUGAAGGCCCUAGGGUUGUAAAGCUCUUUCACCGGUGAAGAUAAUGACGGUAACCGGAGAAGAAGCCCCGGCUAACUUCGUGCCAGCAGCCGCGGUAAUACGAAGGGGGCUAGCGUUGUUCGGAUUUACUGGGCGUAAAGCGCACGUAGGCGGACUUUUAAGUCAGGGGUGAAAUCCCGGGGCUCAACCCCGGAACGGCCUUUGAUACUGGAAGUCUGGAGUAUGGUAGAGGUGAGUGGAAUUCCGAGUGUAGAGGUGAAAUUCGUAGAUAUUCGGAGGAACACCAGUGGGGAAGGCGGCUCACUGGACCAUUACUGACGCUGAGGUGCGAAAGCGUGGGGAGCAAACAGG